GGUGUGUGGGGGCUGAGGGCGGUGUGUAUGACAAUACCCAACCGCAUCGGUGGCACAUUUCAAGGCGCGCAUCAUCUUGAGGUCCAACCACUUCCAAACGCAGUAAUGAUUGGGAAACUGACCACCGACAAUUUCCCUUUUUAUCGGAACCUUUAAAUGGACUGAUGGCAGCCUUGGCAGGAUGAUAUAAAAAAAACGGGUUACCACGCAAGGUGACCCUUUAACUGACGGAAUAUAUGGAUUGGACCUCAUCGCCAGGACAGACCUGGGGCGCGUCUGAAAGGGACGGUGCUGUGAACGAGGAGUCCUCAGCCAGGAGCACAGGUCACAUGACAGAUGUAUGUAGUGAUGAAACUGACAACUCACCUUCUCUCCAACCUCACACUCUGAGAGAGUUUGAACAGGUGAGCUCUCCUCUCUAAUUUAAUGCUCUAAACUUUGGAGCCUCAUUAUAUUAACUCAUUGUUGCCAUCUUGUGGGUCCAUAAUGUACUGUAAUGAAGCAGACUGAAGACCAGUCUGUGAGGGAUGAUAAAGCCUGGAUCUUACAGUAAAUGAUUCAGUCUGGAUGUUACAGUAA
rnacentral:lncRNA from 1 species